rnacentral:misc_RNA from 1 species
GGCUACCAGUAUGGUUCAUUCACUGGAAAUUACUUGAGCAAUGAAUACAACAUAGACAAGUCUAGACUAGUUCCUUACAACUCAGCAGAGGAAUGUGCUAAAGCCCUGAAAGAAGGUCCCAAGAAUGGUGGUGUUGCUGCAGUGGUUGAUGAAAGAGCAUACAUGGAGCUCUUCCUCUCAUCUAAUUGUGAAUUCAGUAUUGUUGGUCA